rnacentral:other from 1 species
UGUUCCCUGCAGUGUUUGUUAAGACCCAUAAUCUUUGAACCAAUUUUUAAAAAGAGGUUGCAAGCUAAAGUGAUGUUGGUGCGCGCGUCCUAUAUGGAAAUGCCUAAAACAUCCGGCGAGUGACCACCUUGAGCCUUCUGGUUCAAGAUGAUGGUCUGACGGCAUUUGCGGGGAGCAU